rnacentral:rRNA from 1 species
GGCCUGCGGAGGGAUCAUUG